GAAAUGGAGAGAAGAGAAAAGAAAGAAAAAAUGUGAUUUAUCAUAUUUCCUUUGUUUGGAUAGCAAAUAGAGGAAAGAAAUGAGAAGAAAUGAAGAGAAAUGAAGGAAAAUUAUAUUUCCCAAUUUCCCUUCAUGAACCCAAAAUAUUUCUCUCCAAUUUGGAGUGAAAUGGAGAGAAAUGAAGAGAAUUAGGUGCCAUUUAUAUUAAAAAUACUUAUACACCCUUAACAUCAUAUAAUAAUAAAAUCAUAAAUUCAUGGCAAUUAAGUAAUUUU
rnacentral:misc_RNA from 1 species